UUUCCGUAGGUGAACCUGCGGAAGGAUCAUUAUUGAAUGAAUCGAGGGGUUGUUGCUGGCCCGUCGAGGGCAUGUGCACGCUCCUCAAUUUUCCUUCUCCACCUGUGCACCCUUUGUAGACUUUGGAAGGACCUCUCGAGGCAACUCGGAUGGAGGGUCGCUGGAUUAGCUUUCGGCCUCCCUUGCACUUCCAGGUCUAUGAUUUUCACAUACACUUUGAAUGUCAUUGAAUGUCUUUCAUGGCUUGCCGUAAAACGCAAUGCUUUAAACUAAUACAACUUUCAACAACGGAUCUCUUGGCUCUCGCAUCGAUGAAGAACGCAGC
rnacentral:misc_RNA from 1 species